CAAUAGCGUAUAUUAAAGUUGUUGCAGUUAAAAGCUCGUAGUUGGAUUUCUGGUCGGAGCGACCGGUCGGCGUCCUUUGUGGCGUGUGCACUGUUGUCGGCUCCGCCCAUCCUAGUGGGAAGGCGCGUUGGCAUUCAUUUGUCGGCGCGUGGCCCCGCUACGUUUACUGUGAAAAAUUAGAGUGUUUAAAGCAGGCUUAUGCCGUUGAAUAUAUUAGCAUGGAAUAAUAAGAUAGGACUUUGGAACUAUUUUGUUGGUUUGCGUUACAAAGUAAUGAUUAAUAGGGACAGUUGGGGGUAUUCGUAUUUCGUUGUCAGAGGUGAAAUUCUUGGAUUUCCGAAAGACGAACUACUGCGAAAGCAUUUACCAAGGAUGUUUUCAUUAAUCAAGAACGAAAGUUAGGGGAUCGAAGAUGAUUAGAUACCAU
rnacentral:rRNA from 1 species